CCUUGGGCUGGAGGACGGCGUGGCCUCAUUGGGGUCCUUGCGCUCUGGGGUUGGUAGGGAGGCUACGGAAUCACAUAGAAGGCUCUCUUCCUGAACACAAAACAGAGUCCUGAGUCUGAACAUGCUCAGCACAACCACAUGUCUGUAGCCCCGCCCACACCUAGGCUUGGGAGAGACCUCAUCCAAGCCAUCCAGCCUCUGUUUCCAACCCUCCAGACUUGGCAUAUCAUAAAAACAUGGCCAGAUAGCAGGAAAUUAUCCAUGAAAUAACAUGGGAAAAUAUUCCAUGCCAUAUGUUGUUCCUUAACUGUUAAUCAGAACCAUUCUUUGGUAAGGAUUGUAUUGUUUUUCCCACUGUUCCCCACUUUGAAUUUUUUUAAGAGAGAAAAAAGUGGUCCAUAAACACCUUUUCAGAGCUGGAGAAGGGAGAAGGGGGCCUUUCAGAAGAAAAUAGGCCUUUUCAGAGCUGGGGAAGGGAGAAAGUAGGUCUUUAAGAAGAAAAUGUGCCAUUUCAAAGCUGAAGAAGGGAGAAAGUAGGCCUUUUCAGAUUAAAAUAGGCCUUUUUAGAGCUGGAGAAGGGAGAAAAGAAGCUUUUUCAGAAUAAAAUAGGCCUUUUCAGAGCUGGGGAAGGGAGAAAGUAGGUCUUUAAGAAGAAAAUGUGCCAUUUCAAAGCUGAAGAAGGGAGAAAGUAAGCCUUUCAGAUUAAAAUAGGCCUUUUCAGAGCUGGAGAAGGGAGAAAAGAAGCCUUUUCAGAACAAAAUUGACCUUCUCAGAGCCGGAGAAAAGAGAAAGGCCUUUUCAGAGUGAAAUAGGCCUUUCCAUAGCUGGAAAAGGGGGAAAGGGGGCCUUUUCAGAAUAAAAUAGGCCUUUUUAGAGCUGGGGAAGAGAGAAAGGGUGCCUUUCAGAAGAAUAUAUGCCAUUUCAGAGCUGGAGAAGGGAGAAAGGAAGCCUUUUAGUCUCCUGUUUUUAACAUUUUAUUUUGUAUGUUGAUUUUUAUGACUGUUUUAUUGAUGCUGAUGUCUUAUUGUUGGGAUAUUUGUUUUAUUGUCUUGUUGUUGUUGUUACAUUGUUGUGUUGGGCAAGGCGCCAUGUAAGCCGCCCCGAGUCCCUUCGGGGAGAUGGGGUGGGGUAUAAGAAUAAAGUUAUUAUUUAUUAUUUAUUUAAUACAUUUAUAUCCCGCCCUUCUCACCCUGAAGGGGACUCAGAGCGGCUUACAAAUUAAAUUUACAUACAACACUAUAUUAUUAGCACAGCACAAUACUGGCAAUAAACUACCACACUGUACUAUAUCUAUACACUGUAAUAUUAUUAAUGAUAUUACAUGCAACAUAUAAUUCAUAAUUAACAUUAUUAUAUUGUAUUAUUAGUAUUAUAUUGUAUUAUAAAAUAUUAUUAAUAUUAUGUGCAUAUACAAUAUAUUAUAAUCUAUAUAUAUAAAAGAGUGAUGGUAUCAGGGCAGCGGACAAAACAACAAAACUACAGGCCCCCCAACCUCGAAAUUUGACAACACAACCCAUCAUUCACGGCUCUAGGUUGAUACAACAAAAAGAAAAGAAAAAUAAAGUCCUAAUUACAGGGAGAGGAAUAAUAGUUUUUAUCCAAUUGCUGCCAGUUUGAAGGCUAAGCUCCACCCACUAGCAACCUACUCAGCCCAGGGGACAGGCAGAGUUAGGCCUCACUUAGGCCUCUUCCACAGAUUAUCAGAUUUUAACUGGAUUAUAUGGCAGUGUAGACUCAAGGCCCUUCCAAACAGCUAUAUAACCCAUUUAGAAUCUUAUAUUAUCUGCUUUGAACUGGAUUAUCUUGACUCCACACUGCCAGAUAAUUCACUACAGCUGUGUAGAAGGGGCCUCAGAUAAUCCAGUUCUAAACAGAUAAUAUAAGAUUAUAAAUAUACAGUAGAGUCUCACUUAUCCAGUCCAACCCAAUUCUGCCAUGCAGGACACAAUCCAAGCACUCCCAACAGAUGGCCACUCAGCCUCUCAAUACUACUACUACUACUACUACUAAUAAUAAUAAUAAUAAUAAUAAUAACAACAACAACAACAACAACAACAUACAAUCCUAAGGUUUGGAGUGACCCCUAACAACAACAACAACAACAACAACAACAACAACAUACAAUCCUAAGGUUUGGAGUGACCCCUAAGGAUCAUCCAGAUCAACUUCCUUCUACUAUGCAGCAGGACACAAUCCAAGCACUCCUGACAGAUGGCCAUCCAGCCUCUACAUAAUAAUGAUGAUGAAGAAGAUGAUAAUAAUAAUAAUAAUAGAAGAAUAGAAUCCAAGAGUUUGGAGAGACCCCUAAGGGCCAUCCAGCCCAACCCUUUCUACUAUACAGCAGAAUACAAUCCACAACACAUGGACAACGUAUAAAUACUAUAUAAUACUAUACAAGGACAUAGACCCCAUCUAUCACAGUACACAAACAACCAAAUGCAUACUAAACAUAAAGACAACCAUACAACAGACAUUCAAUACCACCACUACCUCAACAAUUUCUCACCAACACCACCAGACAACACCACAGCAACGCGUGGCCGGGCACAGCUAGUAUUAUAUAUUAUUGUAAAUUAUAUUAUAUAUGUAUACUAGCUGUGCCCAGCCAUACGUUGCUGCGGCGUUGUCUGGUGGUGUUGGUGAGACCUUGUUGAGGUAGUGGUGGUAUUGAAUGUCUGUUGUAUGGUUGUCUUUAUGUUUAGUAUGCAUUUGGUUGUUUGUGUACUGUGAUAGAGGGGGUCUAUGUCCCUGUGUAGUAUUGUAUAGUAUUUAUACGUUGUCCAUGUGUUGUGAAUGCUUGGAUUGUGUCCUGCUGCAUAGUAGAAAGGGUUGGGCUGGAUGGUCCUUAGGGGUCUCUCCAAACUCUUGUGCCUGUCCCCUGGGCUGAGUAGGUUGCUAGGAGACCAAGUGGGCGGAACUUAGCCUUCUAACUGGCAGCAAUUGGAUAAAAACAAUUAUUGCUCUCCCUCUAAUUAGGACUUUUAUUUUUCUUUUCUUUUUGUUGUAUCAACCUAGAGCCGUGGAUGAUGGGUUGUGUUGUCAAAUUUCGAGGUUGGGGGGCCUGUAGUUUUGUUGUUUUGUCCGCUGCCCUGAUGCCAUCAUUCUUUUAUAUAUAUAGAUAUGCAUGUGUGUGUGUGUGUGUGUGUGUGUGUGUGUGCGCGCGCGCAUAAUAAUAAUAAUUAUUAUUAUUUUCAGAGCUGGGGAAGGGAGAAAGUGGCCCUUUAAGAAGAAAAUAUGCCAUAUCAAAGCUGAGAUAGGAAAAGGGACCCUCUGGAUUGUUUUUAGGAUUCAUUCAGCACUUUAAGUAUUACACCUGCUGUAUAAUUAUCCCUCCCUGAUAACUUGAUAUUGCUUUGCACCUCGGCCUGGAUCUUUUGACCCAAAUCGGGAUUUUAAUAUUAUUGUGUAUAUUGACUUUUAUGACUGUUUUUAAUCAUGUUGAAGUUUUACUGCUCGGUUUAAUGUUUUAUCUGAUUUGUGCUGUCGUGUCUGGGCAUGGCCCCAUGUAAGCCGCCCCGAGUCCCUCCGGGGAGAUGGGGCGGGAUAUAAGAAUAAAAUUAUUAUUAUUAUUAUUAUAAGGGAAUUUUCAGAGCUGGAAAAAGUGGAAAGUAGGCUUUCUAAGAGUUGUAGAAAGGAAAAUGGAGGAGAGUAGCAGCAGCUCCUAUGACAGCUAAGCAACACUGGGGAUGUGUUGUCGAAGGCUUUCAUGGCCGGGAUCACAGGGUUGUUGUAUGUCUUUCGGGCUGUGUGGCCAUGUUCCAGAAGCAUUCUCUCCUGACGUUUCGCCCACAUCUAUGGCAGGCAUCCUCAGAGGUUGUGAGGUAUGGAGAAAACUAAGCAAAGAGGUUAAUAUAUAUCUGUGGAAAGUCUAGGGUGAGAGAGGUCAGUGUGAAUGUUGUGUAGUUAAUCACUUUAAUUAGCAUUGAAAAGCUUAUCUGCUGUCUUCUUCCUGCCUCUAGGGCAUCCUUUGUUUAGAGUCGUUAACUGCCCUGGGUUGAUUCAUGUCUGGAAAUCCUCUGUUUUCAGAGUAUUGCUUUUUAUUUACUGUUCUGAUUUUUGAGUUUUUUAAUACUGGUAGCCAGAUUUUGUUCAUUUUCAUGGUUUCUUCCUUUCUGUUGAAGUUGUCCACAUGCUUGUGGAUUUCAAUGGCUUCUCUGUGUAGUCUGACAUGAUAGUU